rnacentral:rRNA from 1 species
GGACUACAGGGGUUUCUAAUCCUGUUUGCUCCCCUUGCUUUCGCGCCUCAGCGUCAGGAAUAAGCUAGAAAACCGCUUUCGCCACAGGUGUUCCUCCACAUAUCUACGCAUUUCACCGCUACAUGUGGAAUUCCGUUUUCUCCGCCUUUCCUCUAGGAAUAUAGUUUCAGAUGCAGCUCCGAGGUUGAGCCUCGGAAUUUCACGUCUGACUUAUAUCCCCGCCUACACGCCCUUUACGCCCAGUAAUUCCGACUAACGCUUGCACCCUCCGUAUUACCGCGGCUGCUGGCAC